CAUGUGAUGAGAGAGACUGUAUGUAUGGGACAGGGAAGUUACUAUAGGACAUGUGAUGAGAGACUGUUUGUAUGGGACAGGGAAGUUACUAUAGGACAUGUGAUGAGAGAGACUGUGUGUAUGGGACAGGUGAGUUACUAUAGGACAUAUGAUGAGAGAGACUGUAUGUAUGGGACAGGGAAGUUACUAUAGGACAUGUGAUGAGAGAGACUGUAUAUAUGGGACAGGGAAGUUACUAUAGGACAUGUGAUGAGAGAGACUGUAUGUAUGGGACAGGUGAGUUACUAUAGGACAUAUGAUGAGAGAGACUGUAUAUAUGGGACAGGGAAGUUACUAUAGGACAUGUGAUGAGAGAGACUGUAUGUAUGGGACAGGGAAGUUACUAUAGGACAUGUGAUGAGAGAGACUGUAUGUAUGGGACAGGGAAGUUACUAUAGGACAUGUGAUGAGAGAGACUGUAUAUAUGGGACAGGGAAGUUACUAUAGGACAU